UACAUCACCUCCACAACAUUGUCGGUAACACUAUUUUUCCACAAAAGCACCGCACAAUACCAUAACACUUCUCUCAACUAUUCUUCAUCACCUCUAAAAUAUCAUCGUGCCACAUCCACAACACUUCUCUCCUUUUCUCGCACCGCAUACAUCUGUUAGGAUUUUCGUUUUCUCUCCUUUUCCUUUUCUCGCACCGCACCUCUACUUGCAUUGCAUUGACUACAUCACCUCUGCAACAUCGCCGAUUUGAAAUACCAACUCAAUAAGAUAGAAGACAAUGCUUGGAAUCUGAAAAAUGUAGAAGCAGAUGUUGGCUGGAGUAUCAUGAAGUGCCUUGUGAUAGUUUGGAUGUUUAGAUGCUUUUAAUUAUAUAUUAGAGCUCUAAUGCAACACCUUAGGAUUUGUUGGUUCUUGUUCACAUUUACCAUUGUCAACUCAACAUAACAAUGAAAGUAAUGACGAAGAUGAUGAAGAUGAUAGUGAUGAAUAUAGUGAUCAUAUUGAAGGGCAUGGUAGAUUAUAGGUGCAAGUUAUGGUGGACUGUAGAUACAAAUUGACUCUAGUUCAUGGGCAUGGUUAAUUGUAGAUACAAGUUAUGGUUAAUUAUAGAUACAAGUUAAUUUUAUUACAUGGUAUAUCAUUUAUUUUUCAAUAUAUGGUAUUUGCAUAUUAUGUAGAACUAAAUAUAUUUUGUUUGUCUUUUGAGUUGUUAGGAUAUUUUUUGGAGAUGUAUUUCCAGACUAAACCAAGUAUCUGCCUUAUCAUUUUUUCACUUUUCAUUUCCUGAAACCCUGACGUAUCAUU